UACGAAGGGGGCUAGCGUUGUUCGGAUUUACUGGGCGUAAAGCGCACGUAGGCGGAUCGAUCAGUCAGGGGUGAAAUCCCAGGGCUCAACCCUGGAACUGCCUUUGAUACUGUCGAUCUGGAGUAUGGAAGAGGUGAGUGGAAUUCCGAGUGUAGAGGUGAAAUUCGUAGAUAUUCGGAGGAACACCGGUGGCGAAGGCGGCGAUCUGGGUCGAUACUGACGCUGAGGUGCGAAAGCGUGGGGAGCAAACAGG
rnacentral:rRNA from 1 species